GACGAACGCUGGCGGCGUGCUUAACACAUGCAAGUCGAACGGAAAGGCCCUGCUUUUGUGGGGUGCUCGAGUGGCGAACGGGUGAGUAACACGUGAGUAACCUGUCAUUGACCUUGGGAUAACUUCAGGAAACUGGGGCUAAUACCGGAUAGGAGCUCCUGCUGCUUGGUGGGGGUUGGAAAGUUUCGGCGGUUGGGGAUGGACUCGCGGCUUAUCAGCUUGUUGGUGGGGUAGUGGCUUACCAAGGCUUUGACGGGUAGCCGGCCUGAGAGGGUGACCGGCCACAUUGGGACUGAGAUACGGCCCAGACUCCUACGGGAGGCAGCGGUGGAGAAUAUUGCACAAUAGGCGGGAGCAUGAUGCAACAACGCCGCGUGCGGGAUGACGGCCUUCGGGUUGUAAACCACUGUCGCCUGUGACGAAGCGUGAGUGACGGUAAUGGGUAAAUAAGCACCGGCUAACUACGUG
rnacentral:rRNA from 1 species